AACGAACGCUGGCGGCAUGCCUAACACAUGCAAGUCGAACGAGACCUUCGGGUCUAGUGGCUCACGGGUGCGUAACGCGUGGGAACCUGCCCUUAGGUUCGGAAUAACUCCCCGAAAGGGGUGCCAAUACCGGAUAAUGUCUUCGGACCAAAGAUUUAUCGCCUUUGGAUGGGCCCGCGUUGGAUUAGCUAGUUGGUAGGGUAAAAGCCUACCAAGGCGACGAUCCAUAGCUGGUGUGAGAGGAUGCUCAGCCACAGUGGGGCUGAGACACGGCCCAGACUCCUACGCGAGGCAGCAGGGGGGAUUAUUGGAAAAUGGGCGAAAGCCUCAUCCAGCAAUGGCGGGUAUGUAAUGAUGGCAUUGGGGGUGUAAAGCUCUUUUAGCCGAGAUGAUAAUGACAGUACCGGGAGAAUAAGCACCGGCUAACUCCGUG
rnacentral:rRNA from 1 species